ensembl:lncRNA
GGCACGCACAGACCCGUGGCCACACGCGGGAGGAGCCAGACACCCACGGGGACUGCACACACCGGAGGGGCUCACACCAAGGGGCAGACCAGACACCCACACGGCGAGGGCACACGCGCACCCGCCCAGGCCAGACCCAGACAGACCCCACGGGAGGCCCCCCACCCAGAGGCCAGACACGGACCAGGCAGCCAGCAUCCCCUGGGAGGCCACAUCAGACCUCACCGUUCACCCGCGGUCCCAGAACCCGCCCUGUGCAGGCCCCCAGCGAGUGUGUGCACGCCCCGGCUCUCAGCCCAGGACGCAGGCCUCCAACCACAGCUCGCCCCUCUUACCUGGAGAGAUGGGGGGAUGGAUGCAGAUACCAGCGGGACACCCCGUUGCCUUCAGCGCCGACAGCAGCUGGGAAGGCCCGCCGCGGAGUGGGCAGCGCCCGGACCACCACCUCGACGCCCAGGCCUGGGGCAGCCCCACCGCCAUCGCGGCCAGGCAGGUGUUCCACGGAGUUUUCCAGAGGCUACGUGAGGCGUGAUCUCGCGAGAGCUUCAAAGCCCUGGCAGGUGUGAUAACCCAGCUGGCCUUGUGUUAACCUCACUCAAGAGAGCUGCGAAGUGAAACACAAGGCCACUCUUUGGGCUGCUUUGCUGGUUUUAAGACAGAGCUAUUUUUCAUUAAAAAAAAGUGCAUUAUUCCUGUGAGUACAGUGAGUUCGUUGUCAUGAAGCAACGAAUGCAUAAAGACCUCUGUUUUUUCUCAGCUUUAAUUUCCAUCGCUGCAAAUGUCGAUAUACACAUACACAACAGCUCUGGGCCUGCAAUGAUUUUUUAAACGCUAAGGGGCCCUGAGACCCCCAGUGUCUGAGACCUGCUGCCUGAGACACGUGGCUAAUGAUUGAUUACAGCUCCUCUGCGCACCCAGCCUCAGUGGAGGACACACACAGGGAGCGCGUAUUGAGUCCUUUCGGCGCCCAGCCCCCAGCUAAAGGCUUUACAAGGUCAUCUCAGGGAAUCCUCACACCAGCCUUAUGCGGGCGGUAAUGUCAAGGCCGAGGAGGAAACCCAGGCUGAGCU